rnacentral:rRNA from 1 species
AGAGUUUGAUUCUGGCUCAGGACGAACGCUGGCGGCGUGCUUAACACAUGCAAGUCGAACGAUGAAGCCUAGCUUGCUAGGUGGAUUAGUGGCGAACGGGUGAGUAAUACGUGAGUAACCUACCUUUAACUCUGGGAUAAGCCUGGGAAACUGGGUCUAAUACCGGAUACGACCAAUCUCCGCAUGGGGUGUUGGUGGAAAGCGUUAUGUAGUGGUUAUAGAUGGGCUCACGGCCUAUCAGCUUGUUGGUGAGGUAACGGCUCACCAAGGCGACGACGGGUAGCCGGCCUGAGAGGGUGACCGGCCACACUGGGACUGAGACACGGCCCAGACUCCUACGGGAGGCAGCAGUGGGGAAUAUUGCACAAUGGGCGCAAGCCUGAUGCAGCGACGCCGCGUGAGGGAUGACGGCCUUCGGGUUGUAAACCUCUGUUAGCAGGGAAGAAGAGAGAUUGACGGUACCUGCAGAGAAAGCGCCGGCUAACUACGUGCCAGCAGCCGCGGUAAUACGUAGGGCGCGAGCGUUGUCCGGAAUUAUUGGGCGUAAAGGGCUUGUAGGCGGUUGGUCGCGUCUGCCGUGAAAUCCUCUGGCUUAACUGGGGGCGUGCGGUGGGUACGGGCAGGCUUGAGUGCGGUAGGGGAGACUGGAACUCCUGGUGUAGCGGUGGAAUGCGCAGAUAUCAGGAAGAACACCGAUGGCGAAGGCAGGUCUCUGGGCUGUAACUGACGCUGAGAAGCGAAAGCAUGGGGAGCGAACAGGAUUAGAUACCCUGGUAGUCCAUGCCGUAAACGUUGGGCACUAGGUGUGGGGGACAUUCCACGUUUUCCGCGCCGUAGCUAACGCAUUAAGUGCCCCGCCUGGGGAGUACGGCCGCAAGGCUAAAACUCAAAGGAAUUGACGGGGGCCC